UACAGAGGGUGCGAGCGUUGUCCGGAAUUAUUGGGCGUAAAGAGCUUGUAGGCGGUCUGUCGCGUCUGCUGUGAAAAUCCGGGGCUCAACCCCGGACUUGCAGUGGGUACGGGCAGACUAGAGUGUGGUAGGGGAGACUGGAAUUCCUGGUGUAGCGGUGAAAUGCGCAGAUAUCAGGAGGAACACCAGUGGCGAAGGCGGUGCUCUGGGCCGGAACUGACGCUGAGGAGCGAAAGCGUGGGGAGCGAACAGG
rnacentral:rRNA from 1 species